GCGGGUGUGCUGGAAUAGGUAGACAGGCAUGGUUGAGGGCCAUGUGUCCGCAAGGACGUGGAGGUUCAAGUCCUCUCACCCGCA
rnacentral:tRNA from 1 species